AGCAAACAGGAUUAGAUACCCUGGUAGUCCACGCCGUAAACGAUGUCGAUUUGGAGGUUGUGCCCUUGAGGCGUGGCUUCCGGAGCUAACGCGUUAAAUCGACCGCCUGGGGAGUACGGCCGCAAGGUUAAAACUCAAAUGAAUUGACGGGGGCCCGCACAAGCGGUGGAGCAUGUGGUUUAAUUCGAUGCAACGCGAAGAACCUUACCUGGUCUUGACAUCCACAGAACUUUCCAGAGAUGGAUUGGUGCCUUCGGGAACUGUGAGACAGGUGCUGCAUGGCUGUCGUCAGCUCGUGUUGUGAAAUGUUGGGUUAAGUCCCGCAACGAGCGCAACCCUUAUCCUUUGUUGCCAGCGGUU
rnacentral:rRNA from 1 species